rnacentral:rRNA from 1 species
CCUACGGGCGGCUGCAGUGGGGAAUAUUGGACAAUGGGGGCAACCCUGAUCCAGCCAUGCCGCGUGUGUGAAGAAGGCCCUCGGGUUGUAAAGCACUUUCAGUGAGGAAGAACGCCUGGUGGUUAAUACCCAUCAGGAAAGACAUCACUCACAGAAGAAGCACCGGCUAACUCCGUGCCAGCAGCCGCGGUAAUACGGAGGGUGCGAGCGUUAAUCGGAAUUACUGGGCGUAAAGCGCGCGUAGGUGGCUUGAUAAGCCGGUUGUGAAAGCCCCGGGCUCAACCUGGGAACGGCAUCCGGAACUGUCAAGCUAGAGUGCAGGAGAGGAAGGUAGAAUUCCCGGUGUAGCGGUGAAAUGCGUAGAGAUCAGGAGGAAUACCAGUGGCGAAGGCGGCCUUCUGGACUGACACUGACACUGAGGUGCGAAAGCGUGGGUAGCAAACAGGAUUAGAUACCCCUGUAGUC